AGGUAAAAGAAAGUUUAAAUCGGGGAAGAAGAGAGUGGCAGACAUGUCUGAGGAAGAAAUUUUGGAACAGAGAGCGAGAUGGAGAAAUGAGAAAAGAAAAAAGAGAGCACGGGAAGGUAAAAGAAAGUAUACAAGAAGGCUACCGAUUGAAGAGAUUUUUAAAGUUCAAAGGAAAAAAUCGCUAAAGAAGAGUGUUGCAGACAUGUCUGAGGACGAAAUUAUGGAACAGAGAGCAAGAUGGAGAGAUGAGAAAAGACAGAGACGAGCUGCUGAAGCACGGGAUGAUGUUUUAUAUAUUAUUGAAUGCACUUAAACGAUAUAUAUAUAUAUAUA